CGCCGCCUCCCGCUCCAGCUCCGCGGCCCGGCCCGGCCGGCUCCCUCCCUCCCUCCCCUGCAGCCCUUCGCCUGCCCUCCCGCCGGCCGCUCCGGGCUCCAGGGGGCCAGAGGCUCUGCGGGGUGGGGGGAGGACAGGAGGGGAGGAGGAGGGAGGGGGACCCCCGAGUCGCCCCCUCUCCUCCCCCCGCCCCCCCGGCUCCAUCCUCCGCCGCCGCCCGAGCAGCUGCGGGGCCGCCGCCGCCGCCUUUGCAGGCUGAGUCAUCACUAGAGAGUGGGAAGGGCAGCAGCAGCAGAGAAUCCAAACCCCAAAGCUGAUAUCACAAAGUACCAUUUCUCCAAGUUGGGGGCUAGAGGGGAGCCAUCAUGAGCGAUGUUACCAUUGUGAAAGAAGGUUGGGUUCAGAAGAGGGGAGAAUAUAUAAAAAACUGGAGGCCAAGAUAUUUCCUUUUGAAGACAGAUGGCUCAUUCAUAGGAUAUAAAGAGAAACCUCAAGAUGUGGAUUUACCUUAUCCGCUCAACAACUUUUCAGUGGCAAAAUGCCAGUUAAUGAAAACAGAACGACCAAAGCCAAACACAUUUAUUAUCAGAUGUCUCCAGUGGACCACUGUUAUAGAGAGGACAUUUCAUGUAGAUACCCCAGAGGAAAGGGAAGAAUGGACAGAAGCUAUUCAGGCAGUAGCAGACAGACUUCAGAGGCAAGAAGAGGAGAGAAUGAACUGUAGUCCAACUUCACAAAUUGAUAAUAUAGGGGAGGAAGAGAUGGAUGCUUCUACAACCCAUCACAAAAGAAAGACAAUGAAUGAUUUUGACUAUUUGAAACUACUAGGAAAAGGCACUUUUGGGAAAGUUAUUUUGGUUCGAGAGAAGGCAAGUGGGAAAUAUUAUGCUAUGAAGAUUCUGAAGAAAGAAGUUAUUAUUGCAAAGGUAACUGAAAUUUUUGUUUGUGCUCUGCACAUGUGUUCCUUGAAAUAUUCCUUCCAGACAAAAGACCGUUUGUGUUUUGUGAUGGAAUAUGUUAAUGGGGGAGAGCUGUUUUUCCAUUUGUCGAGAGAGCGGGUGUUCUCUGAGGACCGCACACGUUUCUAUGGUGCAGAAAUUGUCUCUGCCUUGGACUAUCUACAUUCCGGAAAGAUUGUGUACCGUGAUCUCAAGUUGGAGAAUUUGAUGCUGGAUAAAGAUGGCCACAUAAAAAUUACAGAUUUUGGACUUUGCAAAGAAGGGAUCACAGAUGCAGCCACCAUGAAGACAUUCUGUGGUACCCCAGAAUAUCUGGCUCCCGAGGUAUUAGAAGAUAAUGACUAUGGCCGAGCUGUGGAUUGGUGGGGCCUAGGAGUUGUGAUGUAUGAAAUGAUGUGUGGGAGGUUACCUUUUUACAACCAGGAUCAUGAGAAACUUUUUGAACUAAUUCUAAUGGAAGACAUUAAAUUUCCACGAACACUCUCUUCAGAUGCAAAAUCAUUGCUUUCAGGGCUCUUGAUAAAGGAUCCAAAUAAACGUCUUGGUGGAGGACCAGAUGAUGCAAAAGAAAUUAUGAGACACAGUUUCUUCUCUGGAGUAAACUGGCAAGAUGUAUACGAUAAAAAGCUUGUACCUCCUUUUAAGCCUCAAGUAACAUCUGAGACAGAUACCAGAUAUUUUGAUGAAGAAUUUACAGCUCAGACUAUUACAAUAACACCACCUGAAAAAUAUGAUGAGGAUGGUAUGGAUUGCAUGGACAACGAGAGGCGGCCGCACUUCCCGCAGUUUUCCUACUCUGCAAGUGGACGCGAAUAA
ensembl:lncRNA